ACGCUGGCGGCGUGCCUAAUACAUGCAAGUCGAACGAGAGCGACCGGUGCUUGCACUGGUCAAUCCAGUGGCGAACGGGUGAGUAACACGUGGGUAACCUGCCCAUCAGAGGGGGAUAACAUUCGGAAACGGAUGCUAAAACCGCAUAGGUCUUCGAACCGCAUGGUUUGAAGAGGAAAAGAGGCGCAAGCUUCUGCUGAUGGAUGGACCCGCGGUGCAUUAGCUAGUUGGUGAGGUAACGGCUCACCAAGGCCGUGAUGCAUAGCCGACCUGAGAGGGUGAUCGGCCACAUUGGGACUGAGACACGGCCCAAACUCCUACGGGAGGCAGCAGUAGGGAAUCUUCCGCAAUGGACGCAAGCCUGACGGAGCAACGCCGCGUGAGUGAAGAAGGUUUUCGGAUCGUAAAACUCUGUUGUUAGAGAAGAACAAGUGCUAGAGUAACUGUUAGCGCCUUGACGGUAUCUAACCAGAAAGCCACGGCUAACUACGUGCCAGCAGCCGCGGUAAUACGUAGGUGGCAAGCGUUGUCCGGAUUUAUUGGGCGUAAAGCGAGCGCAGGCGGUUCCUUAAGUCUGAUGUGAAAGCCCCCGGCUCAACCGGGGAGGGUCAUUGGAAACUGGGGAACUUGAGUGCAGAAGAGGAGAGUGGAAUUCCAUGUGUAGCGGUGAAAUGCGUAGAUAUAUGGAGGAACACCAGUGGCGAAGGCGACUCUCUGGUCUGUAACUGACGCUGAGGCUCGAAAGCGUGGGUAGCAAACAGGAUUAGAUACCCUGGUAGUCCACGCCGUAAACGAUGAGUGCUAAGUGUUGGAGGGUUUCCGCCCUUCAGUGCUGCAGUUAACGCAUUAAGCACUCCGCCUGGGGAGUACGA
rnacentral:rRNA from 1 species